CCUACGGGAGGCUGCAGUGAGGAAUAUUGGUCAAUGGGCGGAAGCCUGAACCAGCCAAGUCGCGUGAGGGAUUAAGGCCCUGCGGGUCGUAAACCUCUUUUGCCGGGGAGCAGUGGUCCGGACGCGUCCGGACCGGGAGAGUACCCGGAGAAAAAGCAUCGGCUAACUCCGUGCCAGCAGCCGCGGUAAUACGGAGGAUGCGAGCGUUAUCCGGAUUUAUUGGGUUUAAAGGGUGCGUAGGCGGGCAUUUAAGCCGGCGGUCAAAUGUCGGGGCUCAACCCCGGCCUGCCGUCGGAACUGGGUGCCUUGAGUGGGCGAGAAGUAUGCGGAAUGCGUGGUGUAGCGGUGAAAUGCGUAGAUAUCAGGAGGAAUACCGUUAGCGAAGGCGGCAAUCUGGCUGGAAACUGACGCUGAGGUGCGAAAGCGUGGGUAGCAAACAGGAUUAGAUACCCUUGUAGUC
rnacentral:rRNA from 1 species